rnacentral:rRNA from 1 species
UACGUAGGGUGCAAGCGUUGUCCGGAUUUACUGGGCGUAAAGAGCGUGUAGGCGGCCAAACAGGUCCGUUGUGAAAACUGGAGGCUCAACCUUCAGACGUCGACGGAAACCGUGUGGCUAGAGUCCGGAAGAGGAGAGUGGAAUUCCUGGUGUAGCGGUGAAAUGCGCAGAUAUCAGGAGGAACACCGGUGGCGAAGGCGGCUUGCUGGGCCAGUUCUGACGCUGAGGAGCGAAAGCGUGGGGAGCGAACAGG